rnacentral:tRNA from 1 species
GACGCGGUGGCAGAAUGGCUAUGCCACGGGUUGCCUCCCCGUGUAUGCGAGUUCGAAUCUCGCCCGCGUCU